UGGGGAAUAUUGCACAAUGGGCGCAAGCCUGAUGCAGCCAUGCCGCGUGUAUGAAGAAGGCCUUCGGGUUGUAAAGUACUUUCAGUCGGGAGGAAGGUGGUAAGGUUAAUAACCUUGGCAAUUGACGUUACCGACAGAAGAAGCACCGGCUAACUCCGUGCCAGCAGCCGCGGUAAUACGGAGGGUGCAAGCGUUAAUCGGAAUUACUGGGCGUAAAGCGCACGCAGGCGGUUGAUUGAGUCAGAUGUGAAAUCCCCGGGCUUAACCCGGGAAUUGCAUCUGAUAAUGGUCAGCUAGAGUCUUGUAGAGAGGGGUAGGAUUCCAUGUGUAGCGGUGAAAUGCGUAGAGAUGUGGAGGAAUACCGGUGGCGAAGGCGGCCCCCUGGACAAAGACUGACGCUCAGGUGCGAAAGCGUGGGGAGCAAACAGG
rnacentral:rRNA from 1 species